GCGAGGCCGCGCGACGGCUCUCUCUCGGGUGGAAACGAAGACGACCUAGGGCACGUCUCCGGCGGCCGACGAGCAUCGUUUUCCGGCCGGUCUUCACCCGAGCGUGACCACCUCGACGAGAGGAGCUCGGAAACGAAAAGAAGCCGCUGGGAUUCUCAUCUAUCCGAAACCCUAGAUCUUCCUUUCCGGCUGUGAGUUCAAGGAUACAAGGGAUAAAGGAAAGGAAAAGAUUUAGCAAGGAAGGCGACAAGGAGGUGCUCGAAGGAUGUGUGAUGCCAGGACUAUGGAAGCCCUGGGACUUAGUUAAGAAUUUGUUUAGAUUAAUUCUUUAUUUAGGAUGAUAAGAAAAUUUGGAAGUAAGAAGUUGUAAUUCAUUAUUAAGUUUUUGUAUUUUAGUAUUUGGGAUGAUAUAUGUUAUUUUGAUGUUAUUAGGACAUAGUAGAUGAAUUGUAAUCUUGUGUGAUGAUUUCUGGUAUAGUUUUCUUUUGUUUUGGAUUA